UACGUAGGGUGCAAGCGUUGUCCGGAAUUAUUGGGCGUAAAGAGCUCGUAGGCGGUUUGUCGCGUCUGCUGUGAAAACUGGAGGCUCAACCUCCAGCCUGCAGUGGGUACGGGCAGACUAGAGUGCGGUAGGGGAGAUUGGAAUUCCCGGUGUAGUGGUGGAAUGCGUAGAUAUCGGGAGGAACACCAGUGGCGAAGGCGGCUCUCUGGACCUCUGCUGACGCUGAGGCGCGAAAAGCGUGGGGAGCGAUCCGG
rnacentral:rRNA from 1 species